ensembl:snoRNA SNORA73 Small nucleolar RNA SNORA73 family
CCAAGGUGGAUAUCCCAGGAGGUCACUCUCCCCAGGCUUGGUGCCAAUGGCACAGAGGAGCACAGGGUUCUGACCCAUGAACAGACCCUUUCAAAGUCACUGGAGAGAAGCUGGGCCUAUAAUCUGCACCCACAUAUUCCUAUCACUUCUCAGAGUUUUGUGGACAAUGACGGAGGAGACAAACCAUGCACUAAAUU